GACGAACGCUGGCGGCGUGCUUGACACAUGCAAGUCGAACGGAAAGGCCUGCUUUCCCUUGUGGAUUGCGGGUACUCGAGUGGCGAACGGGUGAGUAACACGUGAGUGAUCUGCCCCCAACUUGGGUAUAAGCCUGGGAAACUGGGUCUAAUUCCCGAUAGGACUGCAGGGUGGUGCCUGUGGUGGAAAACGAUUUUCUAGUGGUUGGGGAUGAGCUCGCGGCCUAUCAGCUUGUUGGUGGGGUAAUGGCCUACCAAGGCGGCGACGGGUAGCCGGCCUGGGGGGGUGGACGGCCACGUUGGGACGGGGGUACGGCCCAGACUCCUACGGGGGGCAGCAGUGGGGAAUAUUGCACAAUGGGCGGAAGCCUGAGGCAGCGACGCCGCGUGGGGGAUGACGGCCUUCGGGUUGUAAACCCCUUUCGACCGGGGGGAAGCCACCUGGUGGGAAGGGUGGGGGCGGUAGUGGUAGAAGAAGCCCCGGCUAACUCCGG
rnacentral:rRNA from 1 species